UACAGAGGCCUCGAGCGUUAAUCGGAAUCACUGGGCUUAAAGGGUGCGUAGGCGGCUCUGCAAGUGCCUGGUGAAAUCCCAUCGCUUAACGAUGGAACUGCUCGGGAGACUGCAGUGCUUGAGGUUGGUAGGGGCUGCCGGAACUCUAGGUGGAGCGGUGAAAUGCGUAGAUAUCUAGAGGAACACCGGUGGCGAAGGCGGCAUCCUGGACCAACACUGACGCUGAGGAGCGAAAGCCAGGGGAGCAAACGGG
rnacentral:rRNA from 1 species